rnacentral:rRNA from 1 species
AGAUCUAAUCCAGAGUACCACGAGACACGUGAAACCUUGUGGGAAGCAGGGAGGACCACCUCCCAAGGCUAAAUACUACCUAGUGACCGAUAGUGAAGCAGUACCGUGAGGGAAAGGUGAAAAGAACCCCGGAAGGGGAGUGAAAUAGAACCUGAAACCGUGUGCCUACAACCGAUCGGAGCACGUUAAAGUGUGACGAUGUGCUUUUUGUAGAACGAGCCAGCGAGUUACGCUAUGUAGCAAGGUUAAGUACUUAAGGUAUGGAGCCGAAGGGAAACCGAGUCUGAAAAGGGCGAAAAGUUGCAUGGUGUAGACCCGAAACCGGGUGACCUAUCCAUGGCCAGGUUGAAGCGAGAGUAAAAUCUCGUGGAGGACCGAACCACGUUGGUGUUGAAAAACCAUGGGAUGAGCUGUGGAUAGCGGAGAAAUUCCAAUCGAACUCGGAGAUAGCUGGUUCUCCUCGAAAUAGCUUUAGGGCUAGCGUCGUGUAAUUGAGUAAUGGAGGUAGAGCACUGAAUGGGCUAGGGGCUAUAGUAGUUACCGAACCCUAUCAAACUCCGAAUGCCAUAUACUUGUAUCACGGCAGUCAGACUGCGAAUGAUAAGAUCCGUAGUCAAAAGGGAAACAGCCCAGACCAUCAGCUAAGGUCCCAAAGUGUAAGUUAAGUGGAAAAGGAUGUGGGAUUUCUAAGACAACUAGGAUGUUGGCUUAGAAGCAGCCACUCAUUUAAAGAGUGCGUAAUAGCUCACUAGUCAAGAGAUCCUGCGCCGAAGAUGUCCGGGGCUCAAACUUACCACCGAAGCUAUGGGUGUACACUAUGUGUACGCGGUAGAGGAGCUUUCUGUAUGGGUUGAAGUCGUACCGUAAGGAGCGGUGGACUGUACAGAAGUGAGAAUGCUGGCAUAAGUAGCGAGAAAUAAGUGAGAAUCUUAUUGGCCGAAAACCUAAGGUUUCCUGAGGAAGGUUCGUCCGCUCAGGGUUAGUCGGGACCUAAGCCGAGGCCGAAAGGCGUAGGUGAUGGACAAUCGGUUGAUAUUCCGAUACCACCUAUUUACGUUUGAGAAAUGGGGUGACGCAGUAGGAUAAGAUGUGCGCACUAUUGGAUGUGCGUCUAAGCACUUAGGCAUGCUUGAUAGGCAAAUCCGUCGAGCUAAGCUGAGGUGUGAUGGGGAGCCAUUUAUGGCGAAGUAUCUGAUUCCACACUGCCAAGAAAAGCCUCUAUCGAGUGAAUAGGUGCCCGUACCGCAAACCGACACAGGUAGGUGAGGAGAGAAUCCUAAGGCCAUCGGAAGAAUUGCUGUUAAGGAACUCGGCAAAUUGACCCCGUAACUUCGGGAGAAGGGGUGCCUACGAAAGUAGGCCGCAGAGAAUAGGCCCAAGCAACUGUUUAGCAAAAACACAGGUCUCUGCUAAAGCGAAAGCUGAUGUAUAGGGGCUGACGCCUGCCCGGUGCUGGAAGGUUAAGGGGAACACUUAGCGUAAGCGAAGGUGUGAACUUAAGCCCCAGUAAACGGCGGCCGUAACUAUAACGGUCCUAAGGUAGCGAAAUUCCUUGUCGGGUAAGUUCCGACCCGCACGAAUGGCGUAAUGAUUUGGGCACUGUCUCAACAGCAAAUCCGGCGAAAUUGUAGUGCAAGUGAAGAUGCUUGCUACCCGCGAUUGGACGGAAAGACCCCGUAGAGCUUUACUGUAGCUUAGCAUUGAAUCUCGGUAUUGUCUGUACAGGAUAGGUGGGAGACUUGGAAGCUUGGGCGUCAGCCUGAGUGGAGUCAUCCUUGGGAUACCACCCUGACAGUACUGGGGUUCUAACCGGCGGCCAUGAAUCUGGUCACGGGACAUUGUUAGGUGGGCAGUUUGACUGGGGCGGUCGCCUCCUAAAAAGUAACGGAGGCGCCCAAAAGUUCCCUCAGCGCGGUCGGAAAUCGCGCGAAGAGUGCAAAGGCAGAAGGGAGCUUGACUGCGACACAUACAGGUGGAGCAGGGACGAAAGUCGGGCUUAGUGAUCCGGUGGUACCUCGUGGGAGGGCCAUCGCUCAACGGAUAAAAGCUACCUCGGGGAUAACAGGCUGAUCUCCCCCAAGAGUCCACAUCGACGGGGAGGUUUGGCACCUCGAUGUCGGCUCGUCGCAUCCUGGGGCUGAAGUAGGUCCCAAGGGUUGGGCUGUUCGCCCAUUAAAGCGGCACGCGAGCUGGGUUCAGAACGUCGUGAGACAGUUCGGUCCCUAUCCGUCGCGGGCGUAGGAAAUUUGAGAGGAGCUGUCCUUAGUACGAGAGGACCGGGAUGGACCAACCUCUGGUGCACCAGUUGUCACGCCAGUGGCACAGCUGGGUAGCUAUGUUGGGACUGGAUAAACGCUGAAAGCAUCUAAGCGUGAAGCCAACCUCAAGAUGAGAUUUCCCAUAGCGUAAGCUAGUAAGACUCCUGGAAGAACACCAGGUUGAUAGGUCAGAGAUGUAAGCAUGGCAACAUGUUAAGUUGACUGAUACUAAUAAGUCGAGGGCUUGACCAAA